GACGGAGGAUGCAAGCGUUAUCCGGAAUGAUUGGGCGUAAAGCGUCCGUAGGUGGCAGUUCAAGUCUGCUGUCAAAGACCGGGGCUUAACUUCGGAAAGGCAGUGGAAACUGAACAGCUAGAGUAUGGUAGGGGCAGAGGGAAUUCCUGGUGUAGCGGUGAAAUGCGUAGAUAUCGGAAGGAACAUCAGUGGCGAAAGCGACUGCCUGGCCCAAUACUGACACUCAAGUGCGAAAGCGUGGGGAGCAAACAGG
rnacentral:rRNA from 1 species